rnacentral:rRNA from 1 species
UCGCUCCUACCGAUUGAAUGGUCCGGUGAAGCCUCGGGAUUGUGGCCAGUGCCUUUAUUGUUGUUGGCUGCGAGAACUUGUCCAAACCUUAUCAUUUAGAGGAAGGUG